rnacentral:lncRNA from 1 species
CAUUACCAAAGAAGAUGAAGGAUAUUGUCUGGAGGUCCUUAGAAGAGGUUGAUGUUUGAGGGAAGCUGGUUUAGUGUGGCUAGGCUACAAUUAAUGAUGUUUUGGGUAUAGCUGGCAACAUGGAAUAUUUAUACAAACUUCGUAUGAAGUAGAGUUUGGAUGCUUUGAAAGGGUGGUUGGCACCAUUAAUCUCAAAUACUA